rnacentral:rRNA from 1 species
UACGUAGGGUGCAGGCGUUAAUCGGAAUUACUGGGCGUAAAGCGUGCGCAGGCGGUUUGCUAAGACAGGUGUGAAAUCCCCGGGCUUAACCUGGGAAUUGCGCUUGUAACUGGCAGGCUAGAGUGUGGCAGAGGGGGGUGGAAUUCCACGUGUAGCAGUGAAAUGCGUAGAUAUGUGGAGGAACACCGAUGGCGAAGGCAGCCCCCUGGGUCAACACUGACGCUCAGGCACGAAAGCGUGGGGAGCAAACAGGAUUAGAAACCCUGGUAGUCC